rnacentral:lncRNA from 1 species
GGUCACCUCACAGGAAGAAAAUGCUGAUGAAGCACGAGGCACUAAGCUGCCCUAAGAUGACUGGUGACUCUUGAGUGUCCAGUUUGUUUAUCAACCUCUGUUGUCAUCUAUAAAAGAAAGUUUGGAUCCUGGAACCCUGAAUAUUUAUUUCAACUUUAAGCAGGAUUUCAAUGGUUAAGAGGCUGCCCAUACGUACCUGUCCUUACUGUGUUAAAAGUUAAGAUGGGGGCUGGUGAGAUGGCUCAGUGGGUAAGAGCACCCGACUGCUCUUCCGAAGGUCCGGAGUUCAAAUCCCAGCAACCACAUGGUGGCUCACAACCAUCUGUAACAAGAUCUGAUGCCCUCUUCUGGAGUGUCUGAAGACAGCUACAGUGUACUUACAUAUAAUAAAUAAAUCUU